rnacentral:rRNA from 1 species
AUUGAACGCUGGCGGCAGGCCUAACACAUGCAAGUCGAGCGGAAACGAUGGAAGCUUGCUUCCAGGCGUCGAGCGGCGGACGGGUGAGUAAUGCAUAGGAAUCUGCCCGAUAGUGGGGGAUAACGUGGGGAAACUCACGCUAAUACCGCAUACGUCCUACGGGAGAAAGCAGGGGAUCUUCGGACCUUGCGCUAUCGGAUGAGCCUAUGUCGGAUUAGCUAGUUGGUGAGGUAAUGGCUCACCAAGGCGACGAUCCGUAGCUGGUCUGAGAGGAUGAUCAGCCACACUGGGACUGAGACACGGCCCAGACUCCUACGGGAGGCAGCAGUGGGGAAUAUUGGACAAUGGGGGAAACCCUGAUCCAGCCAUGCCGCGUGUGUGAAGAAGGCCUUCGGGUUGUAAAGCACUUUCAGCGAGGAAGAAGGCCUGAGGGCUAAUACCCUUCAGGAAGGACAUCACUCGCAGAAGAAGCACCGGCUAACUCCGUGCCAGCAGCCGCGGUAAUACGGAGGGUGCGAGCGUUAAUCGGAAUUACUGGGCGUAAAGCGCGCGUAGGUGGCUUGAUAAGCCGGUUGUGAAAGCCCCGGGCUCAACCUGGGAACGGCAUCCGGAACUGUCAGGCUAGAGUGCAGGAGAGGAAGGUAGAAUUCCCGGUGUAGCGGUGAAAUGCGUAGAGAUCGGGAGGAAUACCAGUGGCGAAGGCGGCCUUCUGGACUGACACUGACACUGAGGUGCGAAAGCGUGGGUAGCAAACAGG